GAUGAAGAACGCAGCGAAAUGCGAUACUUGGUGUGAAUUGCAGAAUCCCGUGAACCAUCGAGUCUUUGAACGCAAGUUGCGCCCGAAGCCAUUAGGCCGAGGGCACGCCUGCCUGGGUGUCACACACCGUUACCCUCGCGCCAACGUCCAUCGUUGGCCGCGGCGCGGGGCGUGCGCUGACCUCCCGCGAGCGGGGUCUCGUGGUUGGUUGAAAAUCGAGUUCGCGGUCGAGGGUGCCGUGAUGAAAUGGUGGAGGGGCGACGCCCGAGGCCAAUCACGCGCGACUCCGUCCGGCUCGGACUCCUGGACCCCUUCGGCGUCUCCGGACGCUCUUUGGCGAGACCUCAGGUCAGGCGGGGCUACCCGCUGAGUUUAAGCAUAUCAAUAAGCGGAGGA
rnacentral:misc_RNA from 1 species